AUUGAACGCUGGCGGUAUGCUUAAGACAUGCAAGUCGAACGGUAACAGGUUAAGCUGACGAGUGGCGGACGAGUGAGUAACGCGUGGGAAUCUACCUUGUAGUGGGGGAUAAGCCAGGGAAACUUGGACUAAUACCGCAUACGCCCUAAGGGGGAAAGGCGCAAGUCGCUAUAAGAUGAGCCCGCGUCUGAUUAGGUAGUUGGUGGGGUAAAGGCCUACCAAGCCGACGAUCAGUAGCUGGUCUGAGAGGAUGAUCAGCCACGUCGGGACUGAGACACGGCCCGGACUCCUACGGGAGGCAGCAGUCGGGAAUAUUGGACAAUGGGGGAAACCCGUGAUCCAGCAAUACCGCGUGUGUGAAGAAGGCCUGCGGGUUGUAAAGCACUUUCAGUUGGGAAGAUAAUGACGUUACCAACAGAAGAAGCACC
rnacentral:rRNA from 1 species